GAUGUACUCCCUCCGUCCCAAAAUUCUUGUCUUAGAUUUGUCUAGAUACGGAUGUAUCAAGUCACGUUUUAGUAUUUGAUACAUCCGUAUCUAGACAAAUUUAAGACAAGAAUUUUGGGACGGAGGGAGUACAUG
rnacentral:pre_miRNA from 1 species